UGUUUUUUUUUCAGGGCAGCAAAACCAGUUUUAUGAAUGAUAUAAGAAUUCCAACUGGACUAUAAAUGAACACAUCGUAACAGGUUUGAUGAAAUACUUUUGACAGAAGAUCUAUCCAACCAAUAAUAUGGAGUUUCACUGAAUAUACUAUAGACCAUCUUAGGCAACUAGAAUGUUCACUGGGCUAUUUUACAAAGAAGUAAUAUCACUACCUUCAUCCCUGUCUACAAGUUAUAAUGAUGGAUUAGGGAGCACAAGGAAAGCAGAAAGGAAGCUGGGAAAAUCUACUAAUCUCUGCUCUGAAACUUAAAUCUGAUUUCUUCCUGCGAUUAAAAAUGAUGAAGGACCCCCAAAAGAGCUUUUGUUUGUAUGCAUUUAUUGAUAUUUACCAUAGCUAUACACUAGUAAAAUUUUCAUUGUCAUGACCUCUAAC